rnacentral:rRNA from 1 species
ACUGAAUAGAUACCCUGGUAGUCCAUGCUGUAAACGAUGAGAACUAGAUGUUAGGGGGCAUGACCUCUUAGUAUCGAAGCUAACGCGAUAAGUUCUCCGCCUGGGGAGUACGGCCGCAAGGUUAAAACUCAAAGAAAUUGACGGGGGCCCGCACAAGCGGUGGAGCAUGUGGUUUAAUUCGAUGCAACGCGAAGAACCUUACCUACCUUUGAAUCCACGGAACCUAGCAGAGAUGUUGGGGUGCCUUCGGGAGCCGUGAGACAGGUGCUGCAUGGCUGUCGUCAGCUCGUGUCGUGAGAUGUUGGGUUAAGUCCCGUAACGAGCGCAACCCUUGUCCUUAGUUGCCAUCAGGUUAUGCUGGGCACUUUAAGGAGACUGCCGGUGAUAAACCCGGAGGAAGGUGGGGAUGACGUCAAGUCCUCAUGGCCCUUACAGGUAGGGCUACACACGUGCUACAAUGGGCAGUACAGAGGGUAAGCCAACCCGGCGAGGGGUAGCGAAUCUCAUAAAGCUGUUCGUAGUCCGGAUUGGAGU